UACCAGCACCCCGAGUGGUCGGGACGUUUUAUUGGGCCUAAAGCAUCCGUAGCCGGUUCUGCAAGUUCUUCCGUUAAAUCCACCUGCUUAACAGAUGGGCCGCGGAAGAUACUAUAGAGCUAGGAGGCGGGAGAGGCAAGCGGUACUCGAUGGGUAGGGGUAAAAUCCGUUGAUCCAUUGAAGACCACCAGUGGCGAAGGCGGCUUGCCAGAACGCGCUCGACGGUGAGGGAUGAAAGCUGGGGGAGCAAACCGG
rnacentral:rRNA from 1 species